GGGGAAGGUAGCUUGCUACCUGACCUAGCGGCGGACGGGUGAGUAAUGCUUAGGAAUCUGCCUAUUAGUGGGGGACAACAUCUCGAAAGGGAUGCUAAUACCGCAUACGUCCUACGGGAGAAAGCAGGGGACCUUCGGGCCUUGCGCUAAUAGAUGAGCCUAAGUCGGAUUAGCUAGUUGGUGGGGUAAAGGCCUACCAAGGCGACGAUCUGUAGCGGGUCUGAGAGGAUGAUCCGCCACACUGGGACUGAGACACGGCCCAGACUCCUACGGGAGGCAGCAGUGGGGAAUAUUGGACAAUGGGGGGAACCCUGAUCCAGCCAUGCCGCGUGUGUGAAGAAGGCCUUUUGGUUGUAAAGCACUUUAAGCGAGGAGGAGGCUACCGAGAUUAAUACUCUUGGAUAGUGGACGUUACUCGCAGAAUAAGCACCGGCUAACUCUGUGCCAGCAGCCGCGGUAAUACAGAGGGUGCAAGCGUUAAUCGGAUUUACUGGGCGUAAAGCGCGCGUAGGUGGCCAAUUAAGUCAAAUGUGAAAUCCCCGAGCUUAACUUGGGAAUUGCAUUCGAUACUGGUUGGCUAGAGUAUGGGAGAGGAUGGUAGAAUUCCAGGUGUAGCGGUGAAAUGCGUAGAGAUCUGGAGGAAUACCGAUGGCGAAGGCAGCCAUCUGGCCUAAUACUGACACUGAGGUGCGAAAGCAUGGGGAGCAAACAGGAUUAGAUACCCUGGUAGUCCAUGCCGUAAACGAUGUCUACUAGCCGUUGGGGCCUUUGAGGCUUUAG
rnacentral:rRNA from 1 species